rnacentral:rRNA from 1 species
CCUACGGGUGGCAGCAGUGGGGAAUAUUGGACAAUGGGGGCAACCCUGAUCCAGCCAUGCCGCGUGUGUGAAGAAGGCCCUCGGGUUGUAAAGCACUUUCAGUGAGGAAGAACGCCUGGUGGUUAAUACCCAUCAGGAAAGACAUCACUCACAGAAGAAGCACCGGCUAACUCCGUGCCAGCAGCCGCGGUAAUACGGAGGGUGCGAGCGUUAAUCGGAAUUACUGGGCGUAAAGCGCGCGUAGGUGGCUUGAUAAGCCGGUUGUGAAAGCCCGGGCUCAACCUGGGAACGGCAUCCGGAACUGUCAAGCUAGAGUGCAGGAGAGGAAGGUAGAAUUCCCGGUGUAGCGGUGAAAUGCGUAGAGAUCGGGAGGAAUACCAGUGGCGAAGGCGGCCUUCUGGACUGACACUGACACUGAGGUGCGAAAGCGUGGGUAGCAAACAGGAUUAGAUACCCUAGUAGUC